CCUGCGGACCCCCCAGAGAUGCCGCCGGACGCCGCCCGCAGCAAGAUGCUGACGGGCAUCGGGGGCUUCGUCUUGGGCUUCGUCUUCCUGGCGCUGGGGCUCGGCUUCUACGUGCGCAAGAAGAGCUCCUGAGCCGCCGGCGGCCGCAGCCCCUCCCCGUGGGCUCGGGCCCGGCCGGGACCCCCCGCUCCGUCCCUGCUCCGCUGACUUUGGGGGGGUCCCGUGUCCCCCCAGCCCCGCUGGCGCUCUGCCCCCGCCCAGUGCCUGCUCCCAGUGCUCCCAAUAAAGCUUCCCAGUUGGC